CUCUCCCAUCAGCUAUCUGACACUGAACAAAAAGGGGCCACUUUUUAUUUUGGGUCAUUGGAGGGAAGGCCUUAACGAUGUUCUGGGUCGAUGUCUGGGUGCUGCAAUCGGGAUGCUGCAGCAGAGGUCGGGCACCACGGACGGGGACGGGAGCAGGUUCGAAACCCCCCCAAGCAAUGGAGGACACGGGCUGGUCAGCCAAACAGGAGGCCUUCUCCAAGGACCAGACACGAAGUUCAUUGAUUCCAGGCCAUGAGUACGCACAACAGAAAGAGGCGCUGAAGGUCCCAGUGGCCGCGAUCACGGGAGUCCCGCUGGGAGGGGAGGGCGCGGCGGGUGCAGCUCCUCGGCUCCCCUGCCCCGGCCCCUCCCGGGCCGCGGGCCCCGCAGGUGAGGCUGCGGCCAGGCCCCCCCACCCCAACCCCCCGGGAGGAGCCGAAGGGAACCCCUUGGGGGUCCUCAGACACCCCCGCAGGAAACGGCCGUCCGGAGCAAGUUGGGGAGGGGACUUGUCGGGCAGGCCCGGGGCAUCUCUCCGGAGGCGGUGCCAAGGGGACCCCCACCCAUGUCGGUGGCGCCCCAGGAGGGCGGGGUGAGGGGUAAGGACUGGGUGAUCACGUCCGACGACCUCGUCAUCGGGGUGGGGGCGGGGCGGGGCGGGGGCCUGGACAGGGAGAGACCAAGUUGUGCGGCAGCCAGACACUGCUCCGGAAGUGCCCAGAUGGGGGGACCCGAUGGAGAACACAGGGGGCCCUGGGGGUGCCCGGGCCGGGCCCCGCGCUGCAGGCCGAGCUGUGCGCUGGCUGGGCCCUCCCGGCCGCCAUCCCAUGGUCACGGGAUCCCCGAGCACCCCCUCUGUUUGCCCCUCGAUCCUUCAGGGCCACCACCCCUCCCGGGUCCAGCGGGGCUUGCGGCGUUCCCGCCCCUGGGGAUGGAUCGGCCGACUGGCGACGCGCGCCGCGGAUCCUGAUCCUCCGCCCCCUCCCCCGUUCGGAUUACGCAGGACGCGGCCUCAGAGCAGCGUCCUCGCCGUUCAGGUCCGCGGCCGGGCUGGGCUCCGGUCCAGCGGGGGAGGCGGAGGAGCCCCGGGCCGCUCCGUUCGCGCCCGCCCCGCAACUCCAGG
rnacentral:lncRNA from 12 species